CAGCCCUCAGAACUUCCCUGUGGAAUUUGGCUUGAACCCCUCCUCCCCACUGUAAAUCACUGCUUCUCCCUGUGCAGCUGACAGGCAGCUUAGAGCCCAGAGGAUUCCUGUCACUCACACUCCAGCAAAUAAAAACAAUAGCUCCAAUUAUUACUAGGCUGCUCCACCAGGAUUUUUGUUUAAAUUAUUGAAGGAAGGCGCUGGGAAUUCCAUGGAAACUUGCCUAUCUUAGUUGGUGUCUUAGCUGUUAGCAAGUAAAAAGACCACAGACAGAAUGGCAUAGAUGCCAUAGGGUUAAAAGAGCAGGGAAAAGGACUGUGAAAGAGACUAUUCCCUCAGCCAAUAUUUGAUGUGAGACACAGGAGUGGGCAGUUAUUCUGGAGUUAAAGGUUAAUGUUUCUUACUUGAAAUUUUAGCCAUAAUCUUACUCUCUACUGAGCAAAGUAAAAUUUGCCACAGGAACUGAGUUUUGGAACAACAUAAUAAUCUUGCUUAAAUUGGCAUAAACUGAGUGUAACUCUGACCUGAGUUCAUAACUUGCAUCUGUAGUCACCUUACGCUUAAGAAAACACCAUGGAGUCCAAGGCCUGGUUGUAAUGCACAAUUCCAGCCUGUCUGAUGUCAGUGGAAGUCUUUUAUUAUUUUAUUAGCACUUGAUAUCAUCCCUUUAGAGACACCAGUUUGAAUCCAGAGUAACUCCUCUGGCUUGACACCAGCAUGGCUGAGAUCAUGGGCAGUGGAAGAGUGUCAGCAUUGAAGUUUGGGAAACAUGGAGCUUUGCCUUUUUCCUUAAAAAAAUAAAAUACAGAGAGUGACUUAUUUAUUGUGUUCUUCUGCUCACAUGAGGUGUGCUGGAGCAAAGUGUGCUUUUGGCAGCAGGAAACCACUCCUCUCCCUUCUGCUUGAUCAUUUGCCAUGCUCAGUGUGCGAAGUCAUUGUCAGAAUCAUCUGAUAAGGAGGCAAAAUAAAUAGAGAGGCAAAAGUUGUGGAGCAGGAUGAAAUAGAAAUGUCUUACAAGUCUGCAGUGUUCCUGUCUCGUUAAAAAGAAAUAAAAUAUCCCCCCAAAGCUCCCCAAACCUGUCAACAUAGUCCUUGAUCCCCCCAUCAGAACUGUGUGUUUAGUCAUGGAUUUCAUUUACUUACUUUUACUUUGUGUGGAUUUGACUUUGCUUUGUGUUUCAGUUUCAAGGCUUUUCAUGGUUAACUAAUAACUUAUAAGGGUGUUCAAAGUUAAAAUAUAUUUGGAGUAGGCAAGAGCAGAACAUGAAACCCCUUGCUUUUUCUGAGCCAGCUUUAAAAAUAGUACAUAUGAGCUACAUCACUUUCUGUCACUUAUGCACACACAAAAUUAAAAGCAGAUAAUCUGUCCCCAUUCUCUCUUUUUUUCCAGAGGAGCCUAGUAGUGAGCCAGGCUUUUAAUGAUCACCUGUCAGAAUUUAUUUAUAAUCAGCUAUCUGUGUGACUUUUCAACUCAUUGAUUUUUUUCAGUUUAUCCUGAGCCCUUUGCAGCUCGGGGUUACAAACUUGUCUCACAGUGAACUUUUUUACUGUUGUAAAGGACAUUAUGGCUCUUGGAGUAGGAUAAAGCAUCUAAAUUUGUAGGUGUUUUUCCCAACACCAUAUUGCCUUAGCAAAAAUAGAUUUUUUUUGUUAAAUAUUUUGGGGUUUUUUUUAAGGGAGCUCAUUUCACAUCUUAAAUAAUAUUUUCUUGUCCCCUGUUACAGAUAGGAAAUGUGGCUUAACUAACAGUAGUCUGGUUUAUCAUCAGGUUGUUAAAAUUUUUAUGUGCUGUCAUUGAAAAAUCUUUCUUUCACAAUCAGUACUGAAGAGAAGACCAUCUCACAGUUUAGCAUUUGAGCAAGUUUGAGAAUAUAGGAGCAUGUAUUUUUUUUUUAAUUUAGUAAAAGUAAAAAUGAGCAUUUAAGAGUUACCAUAAAAGGGCCAAGGCAAAUGUGCUGCUUUGAAAUAGGGAGGUAAAUGUUAAAAUCAUUGUAAUGGAGCCUGUUGCUUAAUAUAUCUUAAAACAUUUAAAAUAUAAAAUAUAUUUUUUUAAAUUUCCACAUAAAGAAAGGGUUUUGGUUGGCAUGAGCUAUCAUUCCAGUAUAGUGUUGUGAUUUGUGUUACUGUAAUAAAGCAAAGAACAAGUUGUAGGAAGUAUACAAUUUCAGUACAGAUUAAUUCCAUGUGAUCCUACUACUUCCAGGAAAAUGGAAUGUUUUAGGUGACAGUAAUUUUAAAAAUAUUUCACGGGUGCGUAUUCUGAAUUUUGCCUUGCAAUGGGCGAAUUGAGUCUGUUUGAGCAUGUGGGCCUAGAGGAAGGGUCCAGUCCUGUGCUGCUCCUGCCCCUCUUUCAGUGGCUCUGGGUUUUGGCACUGGGGGUCAAGUGCAGGUGGUCACAGCUGCCAGCCUGGCUGUGCCCUGCUGGGGGGACAUCCCCCCUCCUCCAUCCGUGGAGCCCUGACUAUGACUCUGGGACUCAGGGACGCGCCUGGGCCAGGGAUGGUUCAUGGAAGAGCAGCAUGAGGAGAUUUAAUUUUGUGCAUGUGUUCCAGCACAAGCCUCAUCUGUCUGUAGGAGUGAGUGGUGUUGCCCAAACGUGUUUUGUGCCGUGUCUGGAAGUGAUCAGGAGAUCUGCACUGGCAUUCCCUGAGUGUCAUCAGGCUCAGCAAAGCUGUGUUGACCCUGAUUGUGGACGUGACAUUACCAAAAUCCUCACGGAUUUUCUUUCUCCCUGCUAAAAAAUGUAAUGACAACAAAAAGAAUUCUAUAUUUUCAGCUCAGAUUGUCUGGUCAAUGGAAAGAUGUUUAGGCUCACCAGUUUAUCAUCUGCAAAGAACAAAGCGACCACCUACUUCCCAUACAUAUCUGUUCAGGGAAUGUAGUUACAGAAAUUUCUGGCUUUGUUUUGAUGAGGGACACAGGGUAAUGACUUACAAGAGUGAAACCACAUAUUUAUCUUUCACAGUGCUGAUUUUGUUAAUAAAAAAUAGUGUUUUGGUUUAUUUUUAGCAUUGCAGACCAACAUUCAUUGUCAUGUGUAGACGCAUGUAAAACUUCUGUUUUGUGCUGGUAUUGGAUGCUGGCAGGUUGGCUGAAAUCUGUGGUCUCCUCAGAAAAAGGUUUUCAGAUUUUUAUGAAGCUUUCAAAGUAACCCAUUACUGCAAAGACAUUUUUGUGGUUCUUCAUGUUGCACACCUUAUGUAGUCUUUCAGUGGAACAUCAAUCUCCAUUUAAAUGCAGAGUCCUUAAGGAAAUUUAUAGUAAUUUUCAGCUGUUUGUAUGUAAAGGGAGGGUGUAUAUUUUGCAGGUAACUAGUUGGUUGUUGCUUUUCGUGCCUGGCUCUUUCCCCCUGGCUGUGAAUUAGGGAAGCAUCAGCUAGAUCUGGCAGAGAAUCCUAACUAGAAGGUUUUUGGGAUCUUGUGAUUUUGAUCUGAAUUUUCUGUUUGCCACCAAAAAGCCUUGGAUGUGGGGCUGUGUCACAGGGAUGCUGCUGGCACAGUGAUAACCAGUUGUUUCUGCCUUGCUCCAAAGGAGACCAGGGCUGUUCAAGGCUCUGAGAGAGCUCUCUCUUUGUGUUCUCUGAUGAUGGUUUUCUGUCUAUGUUGCCUGCAUGGCUGUGUGCCUUAGACUACUUGCCAAAGAUUAUUUAAGGAAAAAAAAAAAAAAAAAGAAAAACAAGCUUUGUAAUCCACUGCAGAAAUAUACCUAUGUGCAAUAUCUGCAAGUCUUCACUUAAAAAAAGUUAAAUUAGAGGCACAUUAAUAAAAAAGCUGAGAAUUGUUUCCAUGUGAAGUGCACUUAUACCUCUCACCCCCCAAAGAUUUUUAUGAAAUGCUGUGGUAUAUUUGCUCAGUCCAGAUAUUCUGUCUAGAGCACAGUAUCCAUUACCUCUGGCUUUUUGCGCAGGCACUGAGCUGCAGUGACUGACAGCAGGCACCACUGGGUGGGUUUCAGUGUUUUUUGGAGCUCCUGUUUGUGCUAGGCACUGCAGCCAGCUGGGAGAGGCUUGUUCUUGCUCCAUGCAGCUCACUGCGGGGUGAGGUGCUGCCGGGGCAGCCCCAAAGGGUGUGUGUGCAGCACUCCCUGUAUUGCAGCCUUCCUUCCCCUGCGUUUCUUAACGUGAUCUCCUCCUCCAGCACCGUUUGGCAGAGCGAAGGGCAGCAUUCCCAGCUGCCAGCAUGCGCGUGGAAUCCUCUCCUAAGCUUUAAUCAUUGUUUACAAGUCGUCCCCGGGUGUUGCAGGAACCCCUUCUCUCCCAGAGGCCAAGGGCUCUCCGCGGGAAUUUCCUGACCUUUGGCCUCCCACGUGAGGAUGGGAAUGACCAGCUCCACCAUGGCCAGGCUGGUACCAGGAGCUGCUCUUCACAUUGAGCCUCACGUGAGGCUCGGGCUGCCUGCAGGACCAUGUGCUCCAGGCACGUGUCCCUGCCCUGUGCAGCCCAGCUCAGCCCAGCUCCUCUCUUGCCGCCGCCAGCGCGGGCCCAAACCGCACCGAGAUGGAAAAGCUGCGCCCUGCGCCGCUGCUGCCACUGCCAAGGAAGUGCAAUCUGCGGGCAAGCCUCGCAAAACUGCUCUCUGGAUCAAAGGAAGAUGCAAAAUAUAUUCAGGCAAAUAGUAAAAAUAGCCUGUCACAUGAUAACAAGGGGGAAAAAAGUGCUGAACGCACAGGCUUGUUAAUGCUGGAAGCAAGAACACUGUGUCUCCUUCAAGAGAGCUAAUUUUAAUAUUCACAGUUAAAUGUUGAUUAUUGGUUAAAUAAUUGCUUGACUGCAUGAAAGAACUUGAAGUUAGUUCAGAGUUCAAACAGUAAACAGCAUGAAAUAAUGUUGGGUGUUAGGCUAAGAGCUCCUUGUGCGAGGAAGAGCUGUCCAGACUUAGGAAGAGAGCAUAGGGAAGACCUAGGAUUGGAGGGUUUUUUUGUCCCCUUAAAGAUACUUUAAGGAUGUCUUGAGUGUCAAGCUUGUUACAAUUACUUAGAAAACUACAAUGUAUUUUUCAGAGCUUUGCUUCCCAUCUCAAAGUGCAUUGCGGAGUGAUUGGUUCUCAAUGCAGUGAUUUGAUUUUUUUUUAAGGAGUGAGUACACCCUGAAGUCUUUCAUAAAACAAUAUAAUAUAGUCAAGAGAGAAGACCUCAUCAGGAGAUGUAUACAAAGACACUACUAUUAUCUGAUUAGAUGAAGCUACUAGGAAACACAUGAAAUUGUUCAAUCUCUGCAUAUUUUUAUGACAGCAAAUUGGCAAUUGUGGAAGCUGCAGUGGCCAGAUUCUGCCAGUUAAUCUCAGCAGACAGCAAGAUGAUUGAAAUAACAGCACCAGACCUUCUUGUAGAAGACCACAUUGUGCAAGACUGCAAAACAUAAAGCACAGGCUCAAGGCUUGUGCUGAAGCAGAGAUGACUUUAAACAAUUCACUCAUUUUUACCAACUCACCAUUGCAACAUUUAGAAAUUUGUCUUAUUCCACCAAUAAAUCUGUUUUAAAAAAACAGCUGCGUUCUUGCCUUCGUAAUGCUUAUUAAGUAGGAACUAAGCACUCAAACCCAAAUCCUCUUCCUCAUCACAGCAGAGAGGGUUAAACUGAAUUUGAAGGGCCCUGCAGCAAUCAGCCCUCAACUGCUGCCUCUCUUUGUGCUGCAUAGUGGAAAUAUGGAUGUUGGUGACAGUCCCUGCAGCUGCUGCCCUUUGGUGGGGCACUGGCCCUUCUAGGCACCUAACUCCUGCAGCAUUUGCUUGCUGUGAGAGAUGAGCAUUGGGGUAUUUUUUUGUUACCAUUUUUAUAUGAAUCAGAUGUAUUAAGAAAGUUGUGAUUUUUAAGAAUUGAUUACAGUCCUAAAAUUUCAUGAAAUUAAAUUAGUGGAUGUAUGAUGGGAUAUAGGAUGGGGAUGUGUUGCUGAGCAGGAAGAGUAAUGCAAAUUUGCAUUUUCUACAUCAGAAAAGGUGAAUAAGACCUUUAAAAUGCCUGAUCUGUGUGAAAUGCUUCUAAAAAAGCUGACACCCUUUUAGACACCAUGAAAUGUCAAUUUGCUUUGAGAAAAGAAUCUGCAAGAAACCAAAUUUAAUUGAUUUAGUGUGUGUUGGAAGGAGGGGAGUCAAACUUUUUCUGCCAUUCUUCUUUCUUGGAACUCCUCAGCUUCUCAGGUUCUGUGAUUAGGUGAGACACUGGUGUUUCAUUUAUAAAGAGGAUUUAGAAAACGAGCUGUAAGGUUUGUAAGCAAGAUCUUGAAAGUUCUGAUCUCACACAAUGGAAUGGUCUGGAUCCUCUCCAAAGCCAAGCACAGUUAUUUUACUGAAAAAAUUUCUCAACUUUAAGCAUCCUUGCUCUAUCCUUUUCCUCUUGUGCAGCAGAGUUGCCCUAGCUCUGCUGCUCGUUUGAAACUACCUUGCAGUGAUCUAAGUUCAGAUUUGAUGGCUCUUAUCACAAUUAUUGCAGUGUCACAUGCGGGUGGGCAUCCAGGUGACCUUGUGCGCACAUCCCGCCGCUCAUCCCGCACUGCACACGUAGCUGUGGCACAGGGAGCUGGCUCUAAUCUGGGAAAUUUUCCCCCCUGCCACCGGGGUCUGGGCUGCAGCAAGGUCAGGAGUCAGAGAAGAACAGAGGAGAGUGAGAGUGGGCUAAAAAUGUUGAGGGAUCAAAGAGGAAAAGUAGGUCGUGGCAGGGUAUGCGCACUGGGAAGAGGGCUGGGGGAGCACAAGUGAGGAGGAAGAUUUGUUUUGCUAUUGGCUUUUCAAAGUUGUGCAAUUUAAGAAUUGGAUUAACCUGAUUUGACUUUGUUUUUCUGCCAGAUUAGAUAUGUUGAGUUUCUUGGCAUUGUGAAUUGUACAGUACAUUUUGUGCUGUAAAAUAUGGGUGUGUCGGGAUAGAGCUGUAGUGACACAAGCUGCUCUCGGUGUAAUGCAGCACUGCUGGGUGGACUUCCCUGCUCUCUCUCCCCCAGUACAUCCUUGGUAGGGCAUUUACAAAGUUGAGAGAACCUCUCUGUGUCCCUGCAUUCUGUUUCCAGCAUGGCAUGAAGACUUAUUAGUAUCAUUUCUGGUAAGGUAACACUUACCUGAGUUCUGAGAAGCUGUUUGGUCUGGCUGUGGCACAUGCAAUAUUAAAUGUCUCUAAAAAAGAAAGAAAUUGUUUAAAAAUACACUAAAGAGUUUCUUCCUGCUUCCUCAGGAUUAAAUUGGAGAAAGUUUAUUGGGAAAUGCUGCGGCUUUUUUUUGUCUGCCUUCUUUUUAUUUGAAGAGUGAAAAAACAGAUACAGAUCUGAAAUAACUGCAAGUGCUGAGCUCACUGUUGUUUGAAGUAUACCGCAGCAGCAUAUCAAUGUCAAAGUAAAAUUUUCACAGUAGUAUAUGUUUGCUCAAUGGUUUUGGUUUUUUGUUUUUGUUUAGUUUUUGGUGCUGCAUUCAUCCUGGAUAAUUUGAUUUGGUGUAUCCUUUUUAUACACUGGCCUUGCCCUGUGAGACAGCCCAAUUCUCUCUGCUUAUUGCUGGGUGAGGGUGGAGUACUAAAAAAGGGCGGAUAGAAUCACAACCCUGUCCAGCUGGGUGAUCACUGCUCUGAUUAAUAAAGAAUGUGAAACUACACAUACCUUGGGGCACUGUUGUUUAAUUCCUAUUCUGGUUUUCCAGAAUUUUCCAGGAACUUGAGCCAUCCAAGCAGGUCAGUCAUGAGGGACUGACCAUAGCAUGGCCUUUGUCACCAGCAGGGGCCUGCCCUCUGUAUCAAGAGCUGUACACUGAAAACUGAGGAGUUAUGUCUCUGCCCAUAGUGAAGAUUGAUUCUCUUGGAAGAGAAGAGAAGACCGUAAAUAACAGAUCAGGUUAAUAAAUCACAUAUCUGGAUUGUGUCAUGCUCCUCAGCCAUAUGUUGCUAACUCUACUAAUUCACAAAGGCAAGAAGCCACAGGGCUUGCUCACCAGGUGAAGGUGUUUCUGGAGUGGUAGAACAUUCUUUGAAUUGUUUCUGGAGCGAUAGAGCAUUUUUUGAGAGUAACACCAAUUGAGUAAAAGGGAGCAGGAAGCUGACCUUGUGAACACCUGCAUCUCUCAACUCUUACAUGAGAGAAUUAGGGAAGAGUGCAGCAUAUUUAAAGUUAAUCUGCAUUCUGCCUUCUGUGAAGGUUAAACCACAAGCCUUCAGUAACACAUGUGUUACAGCUGUGAAAGGUUUGGGUAUCUGCUUGAAACACCUUGCCUGUGGGUGCCUUGAUACUUAAAAAAUCAGGGCAUGGAUUGUCCAGGCUGCAAGGCCUGAUGUUGAUCCAUCCAUAAUCACGUGGCUGCUCUCAGAAAGGUUGAUUUUUCAGUUGGACCAUGCUCAUCACCAGGUUUAAGAAGCACUUUUCCAGAGUCUCUUAUCUGCUCAAUUUUCUCAGUGCGAUACGGUUGAUGUCAUUGUUGAAAAUUGUGGUAGUCUCUGUCUGGAAGCAGUUCUGAACACGUGAAAA